rnacentral:sRNA from 1 species
UAACCAACAAUGUAAAUUAACUAAGGUU